UACGGAGGAUCCAAGCGUUAUCCGGAAUCAUUGGGUUUAAAGGGUCCGUAGGCGGUCUUAUAAGUCAGUGGUGAAAUCUCUCCGCUCAACGGGGAAACGGCCAUUGAUACUGUAAGACUUGAAUUAUUGGGAAGUAACUAGAAUAUGUAGUGUAGCGGUGAAAUGCUUAGAUAUUACAUGGAAUACCGAUUGCGAAGGCAGGUUACUACCAAUGGAUUGACGCUGAUGGACGAAAGCGUGGGGAGCGAUCCGG
rnacentral:rRNA from 1 species